AAAUUCUAGCAGCCAUAUUAUCCUACUGCUUUUUAUGUGUUAGAGAAAACUGUUUGACCAUAUGAUUGUUGAGCAGUUUACAGACAGCCACAUAAUUAUGAUUGAGCUGUGAGUAACAGUAAUCACCCUGGCAUUUUUAAGGAGAGCAGUCAAGAGAUGCUCUCUCGAACGAUGGCAUAGAGUAUUGCAAGAGUCUAAGCAGAGUUGAUGGGUUCUGCAGUGAUGACAGUCAGCAAGAUUAUUUUCUGGGUCCAGGUAUAGAAGGUGUGACUAUAGACACAUUUGCCACAAUGUGUUUUGCAGACUCCUGUCAAGAGAUUAUGGUGAACCUCUUAAAGACUAUUAAAGGGAAUUUGCUUGUAUCAGAUUCCAGCUGUCAUGAAAUCAUGGUGCACCUAACAGUGGUCAUUAGCAGGACCUUUCUAGCAACCAAGUAAGUGAUAAAGUGGGUCUUACCUCAGCACAGACCAUGUGAUCUUCAGAUAAUCUAGGUGAGUGAGUAUGGUUUCCCUAACACAGUGUCACUUUGGUUGUCUUUUUUUGUUUAUUUUUUUUGGCAAGUGCCCUGCUAAGUCCUUUCCUAGUAUUCAGGUAUGAGAUUGUGUGGCAUUAACUCAAUAGCUGCUUGUUUUUCAUAUAUGUAAAUGAUGUUUUCAACACCAUAUUACCUAUGUUUUUGGCAUGUAUGCAGUUCAGAAAUUAACUUGACCCAAAUAGCACUAGUAAGCAUGAGAUUUUACUAUAUUCUUAUUCAGAGAUUAUGUGUUUUUAUACACUUGUAAAUAGGCGGAUAUCCAGGAAAUUGUUCAUACUGCCCAUCACCGCAUUAUUGACUGUGGCAUUUUUGCAGGUAUCCCUUCAAGAGGAAGGUGUCUCUUAUUAGGGUUUAACCCCAGAUUUCUGCCAUUAUCCAGGUUCAUGUGAAGACCUCACUAUGAGCCUGUUAAUGGUAAUUAAUGGUGUGUACAUAGCAGGUACUGAGGCAUCCUGUUCAGGUCGUUGAUAGUACACAGGUAUUCCUUCAAGAGAGGAAGGUGUAUCUUACUAGGGUUUAACCUCAGAGUUCUGGAAGUGUCCAGAACAUGCCAAGAGAUCACAGUGAGCCUGUCUAUUCCAAUUAAUGCAGAGACAUCACUGGUAUUAAGGUAAGUGAUGCUCUGGGCCUAAUCCACGACAUAGACCCCCUGAUCUUCCCAUAUUUAGGUAAGUGAUAACCUGUGCUGACACUUCCUGUUGCCGUGAUUUUGUUGCAGGCAUUCAGGUAAGAUGUAAGAAUCCUUACCAAUUCUAGAGACUACAAAUUUUUACUUUGCUGUCUUAGAUAAAACUUGUAUUUAACACUAGGAAUGUUAAGAGAUUAAAGGUAUACAGGUAUUUAUCAUGGUUUUCCCACCAUCGUACUACCCAUAGGAUUUUUACAAGGGUCCAAUCAAGAAAUGAUAGUUUUCUGACAUUGAUGUUGACCUUGGAGCAUUACAAGUAUCCAGGCAGAGUGGAUUUGUGUCAUAAUGGUGAAGGGACCAAAGUUGCUUGCAGGUGUCCUGGUAGCAAAAAGCUGUGUCCUUAAACAUAUGUUUCAUAAAUUUUUUUCAGAUUCCUGUCAAGAGCUCACAGUGAACGUAACACUGGUCAUUCAUGGGGAUGCUGCUGGUAUGCAGGUAGGGGAUGGUGUGGGCCUGAACCACAGCACAGGCCGUCUGGUCUUCAGAUAGCUAGCCGAGUGAUGGUGGUGUCCCUGACACUUGCUACCAUGACGUCUGCAGGGACGUUCAGGUAGGAACUGAUAGAUCCCUUGCCUGUGGAGAAACCAUGACUUUUCAUUUCUUAUGUUUUAGAGGGAAGUUUUGUUGAUCUCUGUGAGUGUUGAGUAGUGUCCUAUCCAGGCAGUUAUGAUGAUGUUUCCAGCUACAGUAGUGACCAUGGAAAUGUUGCAGGCAUCCUGUUAAGGAAAUGUUGUCUCAGCUGACCGUGAUCUUGAGCUUGGAAUACUACGGGCAUUCUGGUCAUACUGUGUUUUUCAGGUCCAUGUCCCGUGAUCGUGGUGAACCUAAUGGUUAGUGAUAGGCCUUCCUGGUAUCCAGGUAAGUGAUGACGUGUACCUUCCUCACAGCAGACACCAUCCAGUCUCCAUAUACUGAAGUAAGUGACGUUUGUUCUCGUUUGAUCAUGGGAUGGGGUUUUUUUGCAGGUUUUCAGGUAAGAAAUGAUGAUGUUUGGGGGCGCCUGGUUGGCUCAGUCAGAUAAGCGUCUGGCUCUU